rnacentral:rRNA from 1 species
UACAGAGGUCUCAAGCGUUGUUCGGAUUCAUUGGGCGUAAAGGGUGCGUAGGUGGCGGGGUAAGUCAGGUGUGAAAUCUCGGAGCUCAACUCCGAAACUGCACUUGAUACUGCCUUGCUCGAGUACUGGAGAGGAGAUUGGAAUUUACGGUGUAGCAGUGAAAUGCGUAGAUAUCGUAAGGAAGACCAGUGGCGAAGGCGAAUCUCUGGGCAGUAACUGACGCUGAGGAGCGAAAGCGUGGGGAGCGAACAGG